GGGGAUGUAGCUCAGUUGGCUAGAGCGCUUGACUGGCAGUCAAGAGGUCGUGGGUUCGAUUCCCAUCUUCUCCACUA
rnacentral:tRNA from 1 species